GACGAACCGAGCGAACGUUAUUCGGAAUCACUGGGCUUAAAGGGCGCGUAGGCGGGCCGUCAAGUCAAGGGUGAAAUCCCCCAGCUCAACUGGGGAAGUGCCUCCGAUACUGGCGGCCUCGAGGGGGAUAGGGGCAUGCGGAACUUCCGGUGGAGCGGUGAAAUGCGUAGAUAUCGGAAGGAACACCGGUGGCGAAAGCGGCGUGCUGGAUCCCUUCUGACGCUGAGGCGCGAAAGCCAGGGGAGCGAACGGG
rnacentral:rRNA from 1 species